AUUUGGUGAAGAAGUACUUAAUAAAUAAUAAUGAAAGAGCUGAUUUCAGAUUACAACAUAAACACAAAGUAAAUAAUUGACCUGAAAGUAAAUAACUACAAUUACCAUUUCAAAGGAAGUAGGUACCUACAAGUAUGUACCUAGAAAUGUUAUUGAAAAAGUGUUGGAAGUCAAAGAUGUUUGUCAAAGCAAUUAAAUCCUAUUAAUGCAGGUAAAAUUAUUUAAAGUUAUUGUGGAACAUUACAAAACGUACCAAAUGAUUACAAAGGUAAAGUUUCAGAAGGUUUAUAACCAGAUGCAGAUUAAUAAGAUGACCUUAAUGUUAUUGAAAAUAGACCAUUUGACCAAAAUUAGUGUCGAAGGGGAGAAGAAAAAAUAAGAUAUGCAUUUUUUCAGCAAUAUUUUAAUGUAUAACUUUAUAAAUAAAAAUGUUUAAUUGGAAAA